UGGGGAAUCUUGCGCAAUGGGCGAAAGCCUGACGCAGCGACGCCGCGUGGGGGAUGAAGCUUUUCGGAGUGUAAACCCCUUUCGACUGGGAAGAAUGCCCGCAAGGGAGCGACGGUACCAGUAGAAGAAGCCCCGGCUAACUACGUGCCAGCAGCCGCGGUAAGACGUAGGGGGCCAGCGUUGUUCGGAAUUACUGGGUGUAAAGGGUUCGUAGGCGGUGCGGCAAGUUGGGAGUGAAAUCUCUGGGCUUAACCCAGAGGCUGCUUCCAAAACUGCUGUGCUUGAGUGUGAGAGAGGCUCGCGGAAUUGCAGGUGUAGCGGUGAAAUGCGUAGAUAUCUGCAGGAACACCCGUGGCGAAAGCGGCGAGCUGGAUCACAACUGACGCUGAGGAACGAAAGCUAGGGGAGCAAACA
rnacentral:rRNA from 1 species